rnacentral:rRNA from 1 species
UACAGAGGUGGCAAGCGUUGUUCGGAAUUACUGGGCGUAAAGGGCGCGUAGGCGGCCUUCUAAGUCAGACGUGAAAUCCCCCGGCUUAACCUGGGAACUGCGUCUGAUACUGGGAGGCUUGAGUAUGGGAGAGGGAUGUAGAAUUCCAGGUGUAGCGGUGAAAUGCGUAGAUAUCUGGAGGAAUACCGGCGGCGAAGGCGGCAUCCUGGACCAUUACUGACGCUGAGGCGCGAAAGCGUGGGGAGCGAACAGG